UACGUAGGGUGCGAGCGUUGUCCGGAAUUACUGGGCGUAAAGAGCUCGUAGGUGGUUUGUCGCGUUGUUCGUGAAAACUCACAGCUUAACUGUGGGCGUGCGGGCGAUACGGGCAGACUGGAGUACUGCAGGGGAGACUGGAAUUCCUGGUGUAGCGGUGGAAUGCGCAGAUAUCAGGAGGAACACCGAUGGCGAAGGCAGGUCUCUGGGCUGAAACUGACGCUCAUGCACGAAAGCGUGGGGAGCAAACAGG
rnacentral:rRNA from 1 species